rnacentral:rRNA from 1 species
CUACGGGCUGCUGCAGUGGGGAAUAUUGCACAAUGGAGGAAACUCUGAUGCAGCGACGCCGCGUGAGUGAAGAAGUAUUUCGGUAUGUAAAGCUCUAUCAGCAGGGAAGAUAGUGACGGUACCUGACUAAGAAGCACCGGCUAAAUACGUGCCAGCAGCCGCGGUAAUACGUAUGGUGCAAGCGUUAUCCGGAUUUACUGGGUGUAAAGGGAGUGUAGGUGGCAUGGCAAGUCAGAAGUGAAAGCCCAGGGCUCAACCCUGGGACUGCUUUUGAAACUGCCGAGCUAGAGUGCAGGAGAGGUAAGUGGAAUUCCUAGUGUAGCGGUGAAAUGCGUAGAUAUUAGGAGGAACACCAGCGGCGAAGGCGGCUUACUGGACUGUAACUGACACUGAGGCUCGAAAGCGUGGGGAGCAAACAGGAUUAGAUACCCCGUAGUC